AUGAAAAGUAGAAUAAAAAAGCUAAGUGAUACAGUUAAUAAAAAAGUGCAAGACAAAAUAAAAGAAGAAAAAAAGUAUAAUGAUAGAAUACAUAAUGAUGCUAUUCAGUUAAUAAAUAAAGAAGUAAUACUUGACUAUAGUACUAAUAAACGAGUAAAUGUAAAAUUUAUUUUGAAUAAAUAUCUAAGUAUUAUUAGUUAUUUAAAAAAAGAAAAUUUAGAAUUAAAAAAAAAAAUAGAUAAUGUGGAAUUAGAAAAUAAUAUAAAACAAAAUGUUAUUAUUCAAUAUGAAAAUGAAAUUAAAAAAAAGGAUGAAAUUAUUGAUAGAAUGGUAGAAGAAUUAGGCAAAGAUGAUAAAAACAGGUUCGGCAUAAACACAAGCGGAAUAAACAUAAGUGAUAUAAACAUAAGCGGCAUAAACACAAGCGGCAUAAACACAAGCGGCAUAAACACAAGCGGUAUAAACAAAAGUGACACAAACAAAAGUGACCAUAUUAAAACAUGUGCUAAAAAUUAUAAUGACGAUAGUAGAAAUAAUAUAAAUAAUUAUACCCUCGAUUGUAAUAUGAACACUCGUAGUAGUAAUAAUAAUAAUAAUAAUAAUAACAACAUUUUUAGUAUUUCCCAAACUAGUUAUAAAAAUGCAACAAUACAAGAUAAAGAAAACGAAGGUAAAUUAGGAACAAACAAUACAACGGAUAAUAAUAUACAUAAUAUAAUUUUAUUUAAUAAAAAUAAUUUUAUAAACGAAAAAGAACCUAAAAAAGAACUGAAAAAAGAAUCAACAAAAGAACCGAAAAAAGAAUACAAUGACAACGAAACUUCAGAUUUUUAUUUUAAUAAUUAUAACAAUUUAAACAAUAGUGAUAAUUGUAUUAACAUAUUAAAAAACUUAUUACAUAAUAACUAUGAAGGAGUUUACAAUUAUAAGUUGAAUACUUUUGAAAAUAAAGAUAAGUUUGAAAAUAAAGAUAAGUUUGAAAAUAAAGAUAUGUUUGAAAAUGUUGGUAGCAUUUCCAAAUACCUUAAAAAAUGUGAAGAAGAAUAUAAUAAUAUAAAUAAUAUACAAAUUGUUGUUAAUAAUGAAUCAAAAAGAAAUUUAAAUAAAGAAGAAAUAAAAAAAAAAAUUGACAUCAUAAAAAAUGAACAAAACAUAUUUAUAGAUAAUUUAUCAAAAUCUGAUGAUGUAUCCACCAAUGAAAAAAAUGUCCUUAACAUGGAAAAUGGUACUUCUAAAGAAAAAAAUGGAAAAGUAAAUAAUAAAUACGACACAAGUAUAAAUUCGUCUGACAGUGAUGGUAAUGGAGAUGAUGGAGAUGNNNNNNNNNNGAUGAAGAUGAUGAAGAUGACGACAGUAAUAAUAAUGAAGAACAUAAUUAUAAUGAAGAAAAUGAAAAAAAAAUGA
rnacentral:lncRNA from 1 species